rnacentral:lncRNA from 1 species
UUCUCUCUGGACUCGACAUCACAGGACCUGUCAGCCUCUGUUUUUCACUUUUUCUUUCUUCUUUCUUCCUUCUUCUCUAUUUCUGGACUCUACAUCACUGGUGCAUACAUCUGUUUUUUUUUCAGUCUCGACCUGUCGACUGUGAAAAAAAAACAGAGCUGUCGACCACUCGACCAGUGCUCUGUUUUUUUUUUCACAGUC